AAUGCUAGCACCAGUGUUCACAUUCACAGUCCUCGGGAGUUACAUACAAGGUCAAGGCUUGGGGGCCUUUCGUGGGCUCGAGCUGUGAACACUUAGUACAUUUUAGUUGUUCUAGUACUUAACAGUCUUUGAAGUCUUAGAUUCAGAGCAUAGAGUGUAGACAAGGACAAGAACGUAUUUAGCUUAGCUUGAAAACUUUUGACUGAAGGUUCUUCUAAUACCUUACUGUUGCAUCUUGAUAAACUUAGAGAUGCUGGAGAAUUGACUUGAAAGAAGUGACUUACUCGGAGGAACUUUUCCUUUUUUUCCAUUUUGUUUCAGGCUAUCAUUAGACAGGAAUGAGACAGAUUUUUUUUUUUUCCGGAGCUGGGGACUGAACCCAGGGCCUUGUGCUUCCUAGGCAAGUGCUCUACCACUGAGCUAAAUCCCCAACCCCCAGAUUUUUUUUUUAAAUUUAUUAAUUUUAUGUAUAUGCAUACACUGUCAUUGUCUUCAGACAAACCAGAAGAGGGAGGGCAUCAGAUCCCAUUACACAUGGUUGUGAGCCACUAUGUGAUUGCUGGGAAUUGAACUCAGGUCUUCUGGAAGAGCAGUCGGUGCUUUUAACCCCUGAGCCAUCUCUCCAGCCCCCGAGACAGAUUCUUAUGAUUGAUAGUAGGGCUAGUGAAUCAGUCAUUCUUUUUUUUUUGGUUCUUUUUUUUCGGAGCUGGGGACCGAACCCAGGGCCUUACGCUUCCUAGGUAAGCGCUCUACCACUGAGCUAAAUCCCCAGCCCCUGAAUCAGUCAUUCUUAUUUCUGUGUUUUGUAUAAAUUCCUAUCAUGUGUUAUAUUUUGAUAUGUAUUUUUGUUUGUUUUUGUUUUUUGUUUUUUAUUUAUUUUUUUGAGAGAGAGGGUCUUCCUAUAAAAACGUCCAGGCUGGCCUCAAACCUACUAUCAUCUUCUUGCCUCUGCCUCUGAGGAGUGCUGGAAUUAUAGGUGUGUGCCACCAUACCUGGUGUGGCUUCGUACAUAAUGAAAUCCUAAAUAGUAUUAUUUGUGACAACAGCGUUAGUUCUAUGGGCUAGGAUACAGUAUCCUGUUUUAUAAAAAGAUCUGGAGUGUUUUGUACAUAGAUGUUCCUUACUCUAUUGUGUGCCAUAGUUGUCAUUGUAUGUACUUGAAGGAAUAUCAGCUGUACAUUUUGGCCUUAAAGGAGAAUCCUUGGGGACGGAGCAUUGUGUGUAUGACUUCUUUUAUGACAGUAGAAUGUCUUAUAUCAGUACAAAGUACUCUGAAUUAUUAUUUGGACAGUGAGCUGUUAAUUUAUUGUAUACCUAGUGUAUAUAUCAUGGAGGGAAGGUACUUCUGGGAAGAGAUUUUUGUUAUUUACUUAAUUUUUUUGCUAUUUCGUCCCUCCAAACCCUCCCAUAGAUCCCUCCCUAAUCUCCUUCAGAUUCAUGACUUAGUUCUUUCACCAGUUGUUACUGUAAGCAUGCAUACAUACGUCACUACAUAGGUACAUAAUGCAUAUAUACAUAGAUAUCCCUAAAGAUAGCCUAUUCAGGGCUGACCAUUUGGUACUAGACACUGAUCAUCGGUCGUGCUCUUCCCUGAGGAAGGCCUUCUCCAGUUCCUGCCUUUCUUCAGUUGCCUGUCGUCCUUUGGUGGGCUGGAGGCCUGAGGACUUUCUCUGUCUAGUGGGGCAUGCUCAUUGCAUUUAUCUGUGUUUACUUUUGUAGAUGGAUUCCUUGGGACUAGACUCCACAACUCUGCAUUGUGAUUGGCUAUGGUUUUAUGUUGUGGUCUCUGGUUGUUGCAAAGAGAAGUCUCCUUAAUGAAGAGUGAAGAUCGUACUUCCCUGUGGUAUAGUGACAAAUGCUAAUAGAUUGUUGUUAGGGAUUUAGUAACUUAGCAGUUAGAGUCUCUUCUCUGGUAACCAUGACUUCACUAGCACUGAGUAGUUAGGUCUUAGUACCAGACAUGGUACUGGAGCAGUCAGGAGGUAUCGAGGCUGAUUAGAGAGCUGUUGGCUACCAUUAAGGUGUGUGCGCCACUGCUGCACCCUGAAGGCUAUGCCGUGUUGGUCCUUGAUGUGGUUCCUAGGAAUCAUGGAGAGGUGAGACUGUUAGUUGCCUCCCCACUCUGGAAGCUUGCAUGGUACCUUCUAGUCCUCAGGGAAGGGGCAUUCAGGUCAGUGCCAGCUCAGGAUCCAUUGGGUUCUGUUUCUGAAGUACAUGCUAUCUUCAGCAACAGGUCCUUACCUUCUUCCUCUGGGAAGCAACGAAGGGAAACAGCAGUGGACUAUGUUUUGGGAGUCUCUUGUACAGCCUGACCAACAACACAAAAGAGGUUCUCUUGUGUGGUAUUGAGGUUUUAUUAGGUGGUCUGAUAGGUGGUUAGAGGGGGUACCAUCAGUCCCCAUAGAAAAGUUCAUUAAAGUGUGUAUAUUUAUACACAGAGUUAUGUGCAUCCUAAGGUUUUUAUUUGGUUAUGUGUAGUUAAUAGUAUGAUUCUUUGUGACUUCCACAGAUAUCCUUACAGUUAUUUUACCCACCUUGCUCUCCCUCCUGUGUUCACUUUUCCCCCUCAUCCCUGAAGAGCAUACUCCUUCUCAUUUCCCUAUCAAAUCACUGUGUCCUGCUAGUCCUCUGCCCUCCCAUCUUGUGCAUUCACCUCCUCCUUGCUUCCAUGAGGAAAGAGCCCCUGUGUUUUACUCUCAUUAGGUGGGGGGGGGGGGCACCAAGACCACAGAGCCCAGAAGAGGGUGUCUGACCCUUCAGAGCUAGAAUAAUCGAUGGUCUUGGGCUGUGAGAUGGGUAUGGGGAACUGAACUUGUGUCCUGUGGGAGAGCAGCAAGAACAGCUGAGCCAUCUUGCCAUCCUUCUUUCUAUUUAUGAGCAUCCCAUCAAACUACAGUUUUUGUUUAAAUAACAAUUAGAAAGUAACAGUACUUUUUGUCUUCUUGGAGGGAGUGUUGAAACCUUGCUUUUUUAGGUAGCCCAGAUUGGGCUCAGCCUUGAAGAAAUCCUCCUGCCUCAUCAUCUCUCAAGACUGGCAUUAGAGGCAUGUACCACUAUGCCUGGAAUACUUCACUGGUGAAAUAUUUAAUUUUUUUAUAAUAAUUUUUAAAAAUUAUAAUUACCCAAAUUUCUCCCUUCCCUUUUCUCCUUUAAACCUCUCCCAUGCACCUCCCUUAAUCUCUCAAAUUUAUGCCCUCUUUUUCUUUAGUUAUUACAUAGAUAUAUGUGCAUAUACAUAUAAACAUGUGCAUAUAUAUAUAUAAACAUAUAUAAACACACAGAUAUAUUCUUAAUACAUAAAUGCAGCCUGCUCGGUCAUGGUCUUGGAGAACCGGUCAGGGGGACCAUUCUCCUUCUCCAGUCCUCUUUAGCUGUCUGCAGUUCUUUGUUUAGGAUUGAGGCCCCUCAGGCUCCCCUACUAUGUUAGUGUGUCCAUUGGUGUUUUCAUAGUCCAGGUCUUGUUUAGGAAAACAUGUUGAUAAAACCGCAUGGGUGUAGUCUCUCUGACACAGGUUCACAGAAAACUUCCUGUUCCCUUGGCUCUCCAGGCCUGUGCUCUGGCCCUUCUGCAGUAAGCCCUGAGCCCUAAGUGCAGGUGCAUGAUGCACAUGUGCUGCUUGGGACUGGCCUGUACAACUCUGAAUUUUGAUUCAGUUGUUUUCCGUAAUAGUUUCUGCUGCAAAUGUUUGUUUGAUGAGGAGUUAGAACUGCACUUACUAUGGGUAUGAGGAGAAAUAUUUAGGCUAUCAUUCGAGGUUAUGCUGGUGCAAUAAAGUGGUGGCUGUGUUUCUCCUCCAAGAUCCACGACUUCACUAGCCUUAGGUGUUGGCUAGGUUUCCAGUACUAGGAAUUAUUUCUCGCUUGUUGGUCUUACGUCUACCUAGAGGCCUUGGUUACUGCCAAGGUGUGCAUCUUGCUACUGCACCCUUAGGGUUAUCAUACCAUGCUGGCCAUUGUUGAGGGACAUAGGUGUUAUAGCUGCUCCCCUUCCUUAGAAGGUUCCUUCUGAUCCAGCUCAGAUCUUCUGGGUGCAGUGUCUGAAGAUCAUGGUUUUUUAAACAGUAAGACGCACUUCCACCUCUCGGAGGCAACCCAGGACAUCGGGAAAGAGCUAUAUGUUUUGGGAGUGUUGGACAGCCUGGAUCAACAACUGAAAUCCGGGCUUCUCACAUAUGAUGUUAGAGUUUUUGUCUUAAAGGUCAUGGAAGUAUUGUCAGCCCAUAUGGGAGGAUUUCAUUUAAAUUAUAUAUGCAUAUGUAUGUACAUACUUAGGUAUUCUUAUGUAAUCUUAGCUAGAUAGAUAAUAAUAUGCUUAUAACUUUCAGGCAAUCCUUAUUAUUAUUUUAUCCCCUUGUUCCUUUUUUUGUUUACUUCCCUCUCCCUCCUUAGGUAGUGUCUCACUGAAGUCCUUCCCUCCAUCUGAUCACUCACUGUACCUUGCUGUUCUUCCCUCUGAUGCUCUUCCUGCCCCAUGGUCUCUUACAAUUUCCUGGUUUCCACAUUUACUCCAGGUUUUACUCAUAUCUGAAAACUUGGAAGUAGGAACCACAAAUAUAGAGAAUUAUGAUGUGACAUUUGUCUUUCUAGGUCUGGAUUACCUCCCUCAAUAUGAUCUUAUCCAUUUGCCAAGGGUCCAGUAUAGUGCAUUUUAAUUUAAAAAGGGACUUAUUUUAUUGUCUGUGUUUGCGCAUGUACCUGAGAAGGCCAGGAGAGGGCAUUGGAUUCUCUGGAGUGGGAGUUACAGGCCGGUGUGAGCAGCCUGACGUGUGUACUGGAACCAUUCCAGUCUUCUGACAGAGCAGCUUUUAACCACCAAGCCUUCUCCAUCCCCCUUACCUGUUAUUGUUAUUUCUCUAGUUUUAGAGACAAGAUCUCUAGAUACCAGCCUGCCUUUGAGUCUGUCCUGUAGCUGAUGAUCACCUUGAACUUCUUGCAUUCCUGCCUCCACCUUCCAAGUGCUUCAGUUACAGGCGUUUGCCACCAAUGGCAGUUGACAUGUGCAUUGUAUGAGUUUCAUGUAUGUUAGGCACACACUCUACAAAUUGAGCUGUAUUCCUACCUUCAUUGGUGGGAUAUUUAGAUACCUGUUUUAGGGUUCAGUUUGCCCUGUGAACCUUGAGCUGGAAGCGUACUUUUAUGGAUUGAGGUUUGUAAUCUUUUUUGUUUUGUUUUGUUUUGUUUUGUUUUGUUUUUGAGACAGGAUUUCUCUGUAUAACCCUGACUGUAACUGGAACUCACUCUGUAGACCAGGCUGGCCUUGAACGUAGAGAUAGAUACACCUGCUUCUGCCUCCUGAGUGCUGGGACUAAAGGCGUGAGCCACCAUUGCCUAAUGAGUGUCUCUAAUCUUGACAGUCCAAACUCCUCCAAUUCUGCUUGCUCUUCUAAGCAUAAUGGCUCCAAAUGGGAUUUAGAUGAGGGAUAUUCAGCUGCUGCUGUCUAUGCAAAUAUUGAAGAAUCAAGAAAGUUUGGAAUCUGAGAUAGAUAUUUCAGAUUCUAACUCUGUGUAAAGUGUUAAGGGAUCCCUUGCCUUUCUAUUGAUAACCUGUCAUCAUGACUUGGUGCAGAGUCCUGUUCAUAAAAUGUUCUCUAUCACGGGGCAUUUUGAAGAGCAUAUGUGAAAAUGUUGAAGUGGACAAGUCAACAAAGCCCUGUUUUGCAGUGUGAUGUCAUAAGAACACCUCUAUCUGUAGAAUCUGUUUUCUUCUUUCUUUUUUGGGGGGGGGUGAACUUUUUUGAUCACAUGAAGGAGGCUAAGUAAAAUAUGAUUAGGUUACUAUAACUACCAUCAGAUGAUCCAGAGGGAUGAAUUAGUGGUAUUGCUGGGAAUCAGUUCUUGUAUGUUGGUGUCUUGUGUGUUGUAUCUUGUAUGUUGGUGUCUUGUGUGUUGUAUCUUGUAUGUUGGUGUCUUGUGUGUUGUAUCUUGUAUGUUGGUGUCUUGUAUGUUGUAUCUUGGUACAAUGCUUAGGCACUUCAUUUACAGUAAUUCCCCUUGUUUGAAGUAUGUGUGUUUGUGUAUGUAUUUGUCUGUCUACAUGCCUGGAAUUGAAUGCAGGAGUCUCAUAUAGGAGCUGUAAGCAUGAGUUGUUACUGAACUAUGUAUAGUGUAUUUUAAUUUUAAAAAUAUCAGCUUUAAAUAAAGUAUUGGUUAUACAUAGUCUUUACAAAGCAGCCAGUUAACAAUACAGUCCAGGACAAAUUCUAAUUCUAGAAUUCUGGACUUUGGAAAAGAGCUCUGAGGAUCACUGUACAAUGUUUGCAGCUGAGCUGAAGACCGUUCCUAAGGCCUUGCAUUAAGGACAUUUUAUUCAGUAGAAACGUACUGGUUUUCUUUGAGUAGAAAUCGCUGCCCAUUACCCUGUAGCUCUAAUAUAUUGUGUUACUAAGUGAAAUCACUAGAUUUGGAUUUUGCGCAUUCAGGAAGACCGUAUUUCUUUUGAGUGAAUUCCAUGUGCACUGAUCAGUAGAGUUUACUUUGAAUUUUGAUUUGUUCUCAGCUGCUUCUGUAAUAUCGAUGAAAUUAGAAUUGAUGAGGUUCAUUCUAUAUUUUUAAAUGAUUUUCAGUUCAUACACUAUUUUCAAUAGUUUAUUUUCUGAAUGACUUUCCCCAAAGAUUUGAAGAGCCCACUUUCAGAAUUACAAUACAGUGAACUCAAAAGGUGAGAAAUGACUGCUCCUCUGAACAGUUCGUGUACCUCCCCCCUUUCACUGUAUCUCAACCACUUUCUUUCCUCUCUUUGGAACAACUUAGUUUCUGUGAAGAAUGGUUUGGCUUGCCGUUAUGAUCUCUGUAUUCUAAACACAAAGAUGUACACAUCUCCCAAGGGUAUUCGUCAUGACUGAGAAAGAAAGAUGAACAGCCCUGGCAUCCCUAUAGUUGGAGAAUUAGAACUAGAGAACUUGCCUUCUGUCAGUCUAUCUACCUCUCAACUAUUGAUGGAUUAUACUGAGAGACGACCUAAAUUACUGUGGUUUGAGGCUACCCACUAUGAGCAUAUGAACUCUGUAAAAGAAAUAAAGAUUACUUACAAAUA